rnacentral:rRNA from 1 species
UAGGGAAUAUUCCACAAUGGGCGAAAGCCUGAUGGAGCAACGCCGCGUGCAGGAUGAAGGCCUUCGGGUCGUAAACUGCUUUUAUAUGUGAAGAAUAUGACGGUAGCAUAUGAAUAAGCCUCGGCUAACUCCGUGCCAGCAGCCGCGGUCAUACGGAGGAGGCGAGCGUUAUCCGGAUUUACUGGGCGUAAAGAGUUGCGUAGGCGGUUUUGUAAGCGAAUAGUGAAAUCAUGUGGCUCAACCAUACUGACUAUUAUUCGAACUGCAGAACUUGAGAACGAGAGGGGUGAUUGGAAUUCCCGGUGUAGGAGUGAAAUCCGUAGAUAUCGGGAGGAACACCAAUGGCGUAGGCAGAUCACUGGCUCGUUUCUGACGCUAAGGCACGAAAGCGUGGGUAGCAAACGGG